rnacentral:rRNA from 1 species
UACGAAGGGGGCUAGCGUUGCUCGGAAUCACUGGGCGUAAAGCGCACGUAGGCGGAUAUUUAAGUCGGUGGUGAAAUCCUGGAGCUCAACUCCAGAACUGCCUCCGAUACUGAAUGUCUUCGAGUCCGGGAGAGGUGAGUGGAACUGCGAGUGUAGAGGUGAAAUUCGUAGAUAUUCGGAAGAACACCAGUGGCGAAGGCGACUCACUGGACAUGUAUUGACGCUGAGGUGCGAAAGCGUGGGGAGCAAACAGG